GGGUUGUGAGGUUAAGCGACUAAGCGUACACGGUGGAUGCCCUGGCAGUCAGAGGCGAUGAAGGACGUGCUAAUCUGCGAUAAGCGUCGGUAAGGUGAUAUGAACCGUUAUAACCGGCGAUUUCCGAAUGGGGAAACCCAGUGUGUUUCGACACACUAUCAUUAACUGAAUCCAUAGGUUAAUGAGGCGAACCGGGGGAACUGAAACAUCUAAGUACCCCGAGGAAAAGAAAUCAACCGAGAUUCCCCCAGUAGCGGCGAGCGAACGGGGAGCAGCCCAGAGCCUGAAUCAGUGUGUGUGUUAGUGGAAGCGUCUGGAAAGGCGCGCGAUACAGGGUGACAGCCCCGUACACAAAAAUGCACAUGCUGUGAGCUCGAUGAGUAGGGCGGGACACGUGGUAUCCUGUCUGAAUAUGGGGGGACCAUCCUCCAAGGCUAAAUACUCCUGACUGACCGAUAGUGAACCAGUACCGUGAGGGAAAGGCGAAAAGAACCCCGGCGAGGGGAGUGAAAAAGAACCUGAAACCGUGUACGUACAAGCAGUGGGAGCACGCUUAGGCGUGUGACUGCGUACCUUUUGUAUAAUGGGUCAGCGACUUAUAUUCUGUAGCAAGGUUAACCGAAUAGGGGAGCCGAAGGGAAACCGAGUCUUAACUGGGCGUUAAGUUGCAGGGUAUAGACCCGAAACCCGGUGAUCUAGCCAUGGGCAGGUUGAAGGUUGGGUAACACUAACUGGAGGACCGAACCGACUAAUGUUGAAAAAUUAGCGGAUGACUUGUGGCUGGGGGUGAAAGGCCAAUCAAACCGGGAGAUAGCUGGUUCUCCCCGAAAGCUAUUUAGGUAGCGCCUCGUGAAUUCAUCUCCGGGGGUAGAGCACUGUUUCGGCAAGGGGGUCAUCCCGACUUACCAACCCGAUGCAAACUGCGAAUACCGGAGAAUGUUAUCACGGGAGACACACGGCGGGUGCUAACGUCCGUCGUGAAGAGGGAAACAACCCAGACCGCCAGCUAAGGUCCCAAAGUCAUGGUUAAGUGGGAAACGAUGUGGGAAGGCCCAGACAGCCAGGAUGUUGGCUUAGAAGCAGCCAUCAUUUAAAGAAAGCGUAAUAGCUCACUGGUCGAGUCGGCCUGCGCGGAAGAUGUAACGGGGCUAAACCAUGCACCGAAGCUGCGGCAGCGACGCUUAUGCGUUGUUGGGUAGGGGAGCGUUCUGUAAGCCUGCGAAGGUGUGCUGUGAGGCAUGCUGGAGGUAUCAGAAGUGCGAAUGCUGACAUAAGUAACGAUAAAGCGGGUGAAAAGCCCGCUCGCCGGAAGACCAAGGGUUCCUGUCCAACGUUAAUCGGGGCAGGGUGAGUCGACCCCUAAGGCGAGGCCGAAAGGCGUAGUCGAUGGGAAACAGGUUAAUAUUCCUGUACUUGGUGUUACUGCGAAGGGGGGACGGAGAAGGCUAUGUUGGCCGGGCGACGGUUGUCCCGGUUUAAGCGUGUAGGCUGGUUUUCCAGGCAAAUCCGGAAAAUCAAGGCUGAGGCGUGAUGACGAGGCACUACGGUGCUGAAGCAACAAAUGCCCUGCUUCCAGGAAAAGCCUCUAAGCAUCAGGUAACAUCAAAUCGUACCCCAAACCGACACAGGUGGUCAGGUAGAGAAUACCAAGGCGCUUGAGAGAACUCGGGUGAAGGAACUAGGCAAAAUGGUGCCGUAACUUCGGGAGAAGGCACGCUGAUAUGUAGGUGAAGCGACUUGCUCGUGGAGCUGAAAUCAGUCGAAGAUACCAGCUGGCUGCAACUGUUUAUUAAAAACACAGCACUGUGCAAACACGAAAGUGGACGUAUACGGUGUGACGCCUGCCCGGUGCCGGAAGGUUAAUUGAUGGGGUUAGCGCAAGCGAAGCUCUUGAUCGAAGCCCCGGUAAACGGCGGCCGUAACUAUAACGGUCCUAAGGUAGCGAAAUUCCUUGUCGGGUAAGUUCCGACCUGCACGAAUGGCGUAAUGAUGGCCAGGCUGUCUCCACCCGAGACUCAGUGAAAUUGAACUCGCUGUGAAGAUGCAGUGUACCCGCGGCAAGACGGAAAGACCCCGUGAACCUUUACUAUAGCUUGACACUGAACAUUGAGCCUUGAUGUGUAGGAUAGGUGGGAGGCUUUGAAGUGUGGACGCCAGUCUGCAUGGAGCCGACCUUGAAAUACCACCCUUUAAUGUUUGAUGUUCUAACGUUGACCCGUAAUCCGGGUUGCGGACAGUGUCUGGUGGGUAGUUUGACUGGGGCGGUCUCCUCCUAAAGAGUAACGGAGGAGCACGAAGGUUGGCUAAUCCUGGUCGGACAUCAGGAGGUUAGUGCAAUGGCAUAAGCCAGCUUGACUGCGAGCGUGACGGCGCGAGCAGGUGCGAAAGCAGGUCAUAGUGAUCCGGUGGUUCUGAAUGGAAGGGCCAUCGCUCAACGGAUAAAAGGUACUCCGGGGAUAACAGGCUGAUACCGCCCAAGAGUUCAUAUCGACGGCGGUGUUUGGCACCUCGAUGUCGGCUCAUCACAUCCUGGGGCUGAAGUAGGUCCCAAGGGUAUGGCUGUUCGCCAUUUAAAGUGGUACGCGAGCUGGGUUUAGAACGUCGUGAGACAGUUCGGUCCCUAUCUGCCGUGGGCGCUGGAGAACUGAGGGGGGCUGCUCCUAGUACGAGAGGACCGGAGUGGACGCAUCACUGGUGUUCGGGUUGUCAUGCCAAUGGCA
rnacentral:rRNA from 1 species